rnacentral:lncRNA from 1 species
CCGGAGCUCGGGCUCUGGGGAGGGGAGAACUAGGAGCCCAAAGUGCCGCGGUCAGUAAGGCUUCUAUUUUAUUUUUCAUUCCAUAAAUACAAGAGCCGGGGCUCAGUCCGAAUCUUCACUCGGAAGCGCGAUAUUCUAUGGAGGUUUCGGCCUAGACAGAAACGCGGUGAGUUUGGAAACCGGCCGGCAUCCGUGUGCAGACAUGUGCGCGCGCCCGCCCAUCCCUGAGCCCAAGUCCGAGCUCGGUAUUUACAUGACAGGGACAGAAGAGAAGAUGAGAACGGCCCCUCCUGGGACUGGGGGAGACUCUUCCACUGGAGGGGAGGCCGGGGGACUGCGGGGAUGGCGGUGACUUGAGGGUUACAGAACGGUGGGGGGGCGGAGGCGCCUCGGCCCAGCCCUGGCCCUUCCCCUGCCCGACCUUUCCGUGGGUGACCUGGCCUCCCAACUCUGGACUCCUCUGCCUCUUGGAGCAUUUAAUCCGAUCCCUCUGAGGCUCUUUUCUGGAGACCCUCUGCCUUCUGGGGUCUCGAGGGCUCCCAGAAUUCUGAGGGGGAAAAGUGAUCCCUUCCCUCCGGUCUGGCUGGUUCCCCGCGCAAUUUUGUGCAUUUAAAGAUGGUUCCCAGAAGGCCCCCAAAGGCCUGGCCCACUGCGGGGGGGGGGGGGCCGCGCGAUUUUGUGCAUUUAGAGAAUGUUUGGUUCUGGCUCUGGUUUUUCCCCCUUGACCAGGAGGUGGGAACCCCAAGACUUAGACCCUCUGGGGACAGAACUGCUCAGAGGGCACAGCCCCAGCCCCCUUCCCGCCUGCUUGCACCCACUGGCCAUUUUUAAGGGAAGUGGGGGUUGCACCCCUGGGACCAGAACUCGGGGUGGGAGCUGACUCCCCUGCCCCCUGACCUGCACCCACAAAGGAAGAAGCAUCCCUCUCCAGGAGGGAGUGUGGUUCUCUGGUGAAUAUUCCCCAUAUGCAGUACUGCGCCCCCUCCCCCCCAGGCCGGACACAACUGGACCUCUGAAGUGCCUGUUGUCCUGGCAUUCUCACCCCCUCAGCACCCCCACUACCUGAGCCUGAGGGUGGGGGCUGUUUCCUGCACCUGUGCCCGAGGGAGGGGCUGCGUCCUGUACCUGUGCCCAAGGGGGGGCUGUUUCCUGCACCUGUACCUGAGGUGGGGGCUGCUAUCCACACCUAUUCCUGAGGGGGGUCCUUCCUGUACCUGUGGGGGGGGUCUUCCUGCACCUGUGCCCAAGGGGAGGGCCUGCUUCUUGUACCUGUGCUCGGCUAAGCGCUCCCAGUCCCAGAUCAGCCCACCACAGGUGGGUUCAGGGCCAGGGUGGGUUGUUCCCCUGGCACCAGCAGGGGGCCCUCUUGCCACCUGGAGGCCCAUUUGGUUCUGGCUGAGGUAGAACCGACACCCUUCAGGACCAGCCCAAGGAUUUGACCUGUAACCCGGCUGUGAUCUGUGGGCCGGACCCUGCCGGCCUCUGGGCCAAGUUCUUUAUCUACCAGAGGAGCUUUGUGGAAGCCAAAGCAAUCCCCAGGGCAGCUGGGCUCGGGUCACUCCUCUGGACUGAGAUCCCUCCCUCUUGUGAUCCUGCCUGCAUGAGCUCCUUGAGCUUCCCCAGGGAUCCAUGACACCAAAGACCCCAGGAUCCCUGGGCUGGCCUAUUCACUGCCCCCCCCCCCCCACUCCUGGUUCUGAUCCUGAGUGUGCCGGUCAUCACUGGCACCCGUUGGGCCUUUCCUCAGGACAAGCAUUUUCCCAGGGGGGCUUUCCCCAUCUCUGGGGGUCCCCCCUGGUCAGACUGCUGGGACUCCCUCCUGGCCACAAUCAUGGAAGGGAGAUGAGCUUGGCCCCAGAAAGCAGGCCCAGGAGACAGAUUUGGGCCCUCCUUGCUGACCACUGUUCGGGCCCCUGCUCCCCCUGAGAUUCCUUGGGUUCAAGCUGGUCAGUCCAAGGAAGCUGAUCCUCCCCCUGCCCAUGGAGUAGACAAGCUUCCCCGGGCCUGGAGAUCCCAGCCUGGAGGGGGUGCUGGUCCCUCAAAAGCCACCAAGUCACUGAGUCAGUGCUGGGAGAGAAGGCCUAAGGGCUAGGGGACCCCUCAAGUGUGGGGGGGAUGUUCCCCAAAGCACCCUGCUUUGUGGUGGCAACAUCCGGGCACUCUCGCUUGCUAAUUCAUGCCCACCUCACCCUUCACAGCUCCCAUCACUGACCCUGCAAUGAGCCCAGAACCACACUUUGUGUUUGGGCUGGUCCGACAUGUGUUUCCUUUGCCCCAGUAUCCCUAGCCUUUGCCACCAUGUGCCCAGCACACGGGGGCACUCACUGGUCAGUGAUGGGCAGAGCUAAUCUGGGCUCCCGAGUCGUGCCCCUCAGUCUGCUUGGGGCAGGGGGUCCCUCUCAGCUCAGGUUCUGGGACAUUUGGGGCAUGUGGGCAGUUUUACAGAGAUGGCAGGAAUGGGGGGAGGGGGUAUGAACGUCCCCAUGGCUCAGUGUGCCGGGCAGCUUCGGGAACGGCUCCGGCCUGGCCUGUCCCUUCUCACAGUCUGGGGCUGACAUACAGGGACCACCUAACAAAGCGGUGCUGGCCGCCAACGAGCCUGAGUCCGGACCACGGCUGUUCAGAAGGUGCCCCCCCCCAUCUCAUGGCUGCUGCCUCUGGUUACUCGGGACAAAGCUCUUGGGGGGGUGCUGGGAGUCUGGGGGGGGGAUUGAGGGCCAGCCUCGCUCCUGGGGGACAGACAAGGUUCUGACAUCUCGUGGGGCUUGGUCACCUGGCACAGGGUCAACAGCCUGGCUCCUCCUGAACUUGUGGGGGUCAAGAGAGGGAAAUUCUGGGAAUGGCAGCCCCUUAGAAACCGGAAGUGGGAAUGGACGCCUGAGAAAGUCCCAGCCAACCCUGGGGUGGGGAGGGGGGUCCCUAUUGUCUGGGCUGCCCACCCCAGCCGAGGGUUGUAGGUCGGGCCAGGGGAGUGUGCGAGUCUGUGUCUGUGUGAAGUCCCAAAAGGUACGACCCAGACCCCAAACCUGGACUCCUCAGAGUGGGCAGGACUGCUGCCUGUCGCCCAGCUUCGAGCUAGGCCCCGGGGGGAGCCAGGGUCUCCUCCAGGAAGGCGGCUGGAGCUUGGGGGCGAGGAAGAGCUACCUGGGCCGUGGCUAUGCCGGGGGUCAGGUGAGAGAGGGGCUGGCAAGCCCUGCCUGGGGUCAGCAAGGGGCGCGUCACUUCUCCUCACCGGGCGGCCGCUCCGGUCCUUGCUGAGAGUCCGAGCCUCGGUUGUGCUCUCACGGGCAACAUCCAGUGGAGGAACAUGUCGGUUCCGGUGAUGGCCGCAUCGCAUGUGGCCUCCCGGACUGGGGUCUCUCUCCCACACAGGCUCGUGCUUAAGAGGCCCCUUGGACACAAUUCUCCUUUUCUUAGAAGACUCUGGAUCCGCUCUAACCUUACUUAGCAGGAGGCAAACCCUCCAAACCUGGGUUGGCCUUCUGCUGAGAAACCAAAGAACUGAGAAUAAAGGGGGGGGGGCAUUCCGGAAGCCCUGGGCCUUCCAGGCUCUCAGGAGAAGGUCCCUCCACAAAUCCACUGCAUAUGUGUGAGUGAUGAGCUGGGGACACACGGAGGGGGCUCUUCCAGGGUGGACGUGCCGGCCUCUGACCGACGCCACAACCAGUUCUAGGCUGGGGCCUCCUUCAUGCGGCGGCGGAGCUGAGCAGACCCGGGUGCGCAGCGUGGAGCCCAUGGAGGAGGAGC